rnacentral:rRNA from 1 species
CCCGUCACACCAUGGGAGUCAAUUGCUCCAGAAGUCGAUGUGCCAACCGCAAGGAGGCAGUCGCCCAAGGUAUGACUGGUGAUUGGGGUG